UUCCCUGUAGUGCAAUGGAUAGCACCUUGGAUUUCUUAUCCAAAGAUCGUGGGUUCGAAUCACACUUGAGAUG